rnacentral:rRNA from 1 species
UACGGGAGGCAGCAGUGGGGAAUAUUGCACAAUGGGCGCAAGCCUGAUGCAGCCAUGCCGCGUGUAUGAAGAAGGCCUUCGGGUUGUAAAGUACUUUCAGUCGUGAGGAAGGUGUUAAGGUUAAUAACCUUAGCAAUUGACGUUAGCGACAGAAGAAGCACCGGCUAACUCCGUGCCAGCAGCCGCGGUAAUACGGAGGGUGCGAGCGUUAAUCGGAAUUACUGGGCGUAAAGGGCAUGCAGGCGGUUAAUUAAGUUGGAUGUGAAAUCCCCGGGCUUAACCUGGGAAUGGCAUUCAAGACUGGUUAGCUAGAGUCUUGUAGAGGGGGUAGAAUUCCAUGUGUAGCGGUGAAAUGCGUAGAGAUGUGGAGGAAUACCGGUGGCGAAGGCGGCCCCUGGACAAAGACUGACGCUCAUGUGCGAAAGCGUGGGGAGCAAACAGGAUUAGAUACC